AGGAUAUAACAAACCAAUACAGCAGAGGAUAUAACAAACCAAUACAGCAAUAAAAUAAUAUGAUUUCUAUGAUUAUCUUGCAUUCUCUACAAACAUGUACACAAUUAUCAUGCCCGCCGCCGCCGCCGCCUGCUGGUUAUAUUUCCACUUCCGUCCGACGAAUUAUUGAUAGCAAUGGCUCUGACCUUCGAGUUUACAAAGCUUGGAGAGCAGCAAUUUAUGUUCUGCCCUUCCUCUGAUUUUAGCUUCUUCAUCUCCCAUUUCCAUGCAUGUUUGUGCCAAUUCUGUUCAUAUUCAUGCAUUCUUACAGUGGAUUUCUUAUAUAAAAGAGAAUGCUUUUUCCCAUUGUUGUAAAUCUUCUCUAUCUUAUUACUGAGAUUCCCCGAUAAGUUUGAGCAUGGAUUCGCUGACCGUAUAUCUUACGCUCGAUGGUUUUCACUUCAAAAUUUACCCACGCUAUUUCAUGCAUUACUCUUCUGUUUCUUUCGAUUGUGGAGUAGUCAAUGUGAUCACAGUUGCAAACCAAGCAGCUGACACUCGAUUAUCUCACUAUCUACACUGGGGUAGACUUAUAUUUGGUCCAGACGAGGUCAGUAUUCCUUACGGUGUUCCUGAUUGUGAAUCCAGUAAUCUUGUAUUGUGCUUUUGUUUCGCAUGGUAAUUUCAGCCCAAAUUGGCAAUCUACUUCUUGUUGCAUGUGCCAUCUUCCCAGCAUAUGUAAGUUCUUCCUCCUUACUGACCGAUAGCUCACUGCAUUUCAUCUGUAUUUGAUUUCUUUACCCUUAUGCUCUCUGUUGUUCAAGAUGUUGUACCCCAUCAUUAUUGUGCCCCAAAUCAAAGAACAGUUUCAGGAAAAAGAUAAAGGGGAACUCAUAUUAUGCCACUUAAAUGUCACUGGAAACCGGACAUUCCUUGUGCCGAACGAUCCCCAAAACUAGCUUUCAUGUAGAAGUGGAAAACAGCAAGAUUCUUCUGAUGCAGAUGUUGAAAGAAUAUAAGGUAAUGUUAACAGUGUUGGAGGAUUGGAGAGGUGUGGUUGAGGCCCAACCAACACAUAACAAUUGGAUCAUGAAGCCAAUGGAGAGAGAUAACACCUGAUAGACGUAUAUUUGCUGCUGAGAUUGAAAUUGAAUUGGAGCAUAGUUUAUGAGAUGGACAGAAAAAUUUCUCAAGAUCAUAAAGUUGUUUGUACUGUGUAAUUUGUCUGGAGGUAAGGAUUUACAUCUCAAAGUCCAAAGCCUAUGACAUUCUCUAAGUAGGCUAGUUGGAGCUGACCAUUGACAUGCCAUUCAACUGGAAGGAAGAAAUGCUGCUAUAUGCUUCACAUUUCUUAAGAGGAAAAGAAAAGGCUCAUGCUUGAUUAGGUAUGAAGGGUUACUUAAAUCCAACCAUCUUUACUGUUACUUAAGGAAUGUUGUGCUACUGUGUUCAAUAUUCUGGAAAUUUAGUUUGUUGUUAAUAUCUGUCAGUCUAUUUAAUAAUGUUAGCAAUGUGAUGAUAAUACCAUUAACCUCUUAAUUAACUUUUAACUAAUUCCUUGCUGGUAGAAGAGAUACUGAACGAAUGGAGAUUUCGAUGGGUGGGAAGUCAAGCUUUGUUAUAUGUAUAUACAUUGUUGCAGUUUUUUUGGUGUUCAUUCCUUUAGUUUCCUAAUUCUGUGACUCAUAAUAAAAAAAUUUGUUCUUCCUUCCUUGAUGGUUGAGAUGGGAAGAUUUAAACUUGAUAAUGUGCCUUUUCAGAUAUGUCAAUGAUAAUUAGAUAGUAUGAAAUUUCUGAUAGAGUGAAGAAGGGAGCAAUUGAUAUGAUAAUCUUUCUGAAACUAGUCAAAUUUGAGAAAUUUAAUUGUGCUUAUCCCCACUAGUCCAGCGACAUAGAGGUUAGAGAAAUAAAGGUGAGUGCAGGAUGAUGCAAGGACACCAGAAAUCAUGUCUCUCAAAAUCAUAACUCAUUGAAUUCUAACUAAGAAAAGCAAAAACUUCAAAAGAAGUAGAUGGUAUGGAAGUUCCCUAGAGAGGUAGUUAGAUGUUGUCUGUAAACAAGCGAUCGCGUACUGAAAAUUUUUUGGCUGCUGCAUAUUUUAUUGGCUUGUGUUUAUUAUGAAAGACUGAAAAACAGAAACUUCAAAAUUCUAAAAUGAGUAGCGACUGUGAGAGCCCUGAGUGUGUGUGUGUGCUAAUGCUAUGCUUGUUUACCAAUCUGAAUGCAAAUUGUUCAAGUUUUGAUUCCCAUGUGAGUAUCCUAACCCCAUCAUGUUGCCUUCAUAGUUUUGUUUCCUCCCAAUCGUCGUAUGCCCAGUUGGUUCCACCCCUAGGAAAUCAAGAGUCAUUUUUUCGCCUCUUCCCAUGUAUACUUCUCCUCCGAGACUGUUAGAAGCAUUUCCAUUUUCAGAGUGCAUAUUGAGAGUAGAAUCAAAUAAUCCAGUUUGAGAAAUGGUGGUAUAACCAUUCCUUGAAUAUCCUGGAUCAAAGUUGUUAUCCAACGUUUCUGUGUCUCCCACACAGAAGCUGUUCAUGUUUGCUGCAGUUGGUUCCAUAUUGCUACCAACUAGCGAUGAACCUUCUGGGGCUGACCCAGAUGAAUUCAUGUUGCUUGGAGGAUAUCCAGCAAAUCCUCUGAGGAGAAUUGGAGCAAUUGAAUUAUCACUGAUCUUAGCACCCAUUUCUGCAGCUUUCUGUAACAGAGCUGUUGCAGAGGUAAAAGCAGAGCCCAUUGCCAUAGGAGAAAUAUUUGAUCCAUCUGCAGAGCUAAAACAUGCCAGUGAAGUUCUUGGAUUUAGUAUUGGGUUUAAAUUACUUGACAUCGUUAUCCCAGUGGAGUUCAAGGAUAAUGGCCUCCGUGAAUUGUCAAUGUUCUCAUCAGACAUUGUCAGAUUCAUCAUUGAGCUUUUCUUUGAGCAGGAGUCAGAGCUGGGCAUUGUUGAAGUGAACAGUUCUUGUACUUGACUCUGCAAUAUUCCUCCAGGGGCAGCAAGAGUUUGAUUUGCUUUAUAAUUUUCCUCUGCCAAUGCAUCACAGAAGGCUCUAUGCGUGACAAAGCUAUCCUUCCUGUGCAAAAAUUUUUCGAAAAAUUGUGUCAGCAGAAGUUUUACAGCAUUAGUUGCAUCUCGCAUAUCACAAGCUAAUAUAACGGCACGAGAUGCACGAUAACAGAAAAUUUAGGGAAAGUAUACUUCACCUUGAGAAAAUGGUACCACAAUCACAGCGAUACUCUCUGGUGCCGCAGAUCUUUGUGUGAGCUUUCCAGUCUGAUUGAACAGCAUAACGCUUUGAGCAUUUGUCACACUUCCAUUUCUUUUCUCCAUGUUUCCUGCAGAAGUGCUUCUUUAUGCCUGUUAAGUCUCCAAGAGCUCGGCUUGGGUCAUGAUGCACACAAGUUGGCUCAGGGCAGACAUACACUCUCUUCUUAACCUGUGUUGUUGGCCUUUGCUUGAGUUUCCAGGGCAAGUUGUGUCCUCUCCUGUGGAGCUGAAGAUUCUGAUCUCUCUGGAAUCCUUUAUGACAAACCUCACAAAUAUACCUAUUUGUAGCCAUUAAAGUCCUUGGAGAUAGAGCUACAACCUCAGCAUCUGGGUCUGUUAUGCAUUAAAAGAAGCAGAGGAUGUUAAUUUGGAAUUUGAUAAUUACUAGGUUUACAGACAGCCAUUUGAUAGAGUUAUGUUUAUGCCUUGGUUCAAGUUCAUAUGGUACCAAUUUCCUAAAAAGCUGCUAAAAUUGUUAUGCAACUGUGUCUCAAAUGAAUUGCUGCUAUGUAUGUAGACAACAAAAUGAAGCAUGUUUGCUUGCCUGGAUUCCCUGGAAGAUUUCUUCUCUUUUUCGUGCUAGCAGAGCUGGUUGGAACUGAGCCAUCAAGAACAUUUUCAGUAGGAUUAGGACUACCAUAAGAAGACUGGGAGACAAUGGUGGACUGGAACUGUUCAUCAUCUUCAAAUUCCUGCGAAAAGUUUGACAUUUUUCUGAAACACACUGAUACUCAACCAUGCAGGGAAGGAAAGGAACUAAUAAUAUAAGCUGAGGGGAAGGUGAUGUUUGGAUAGCAGACAAAAAGAAGAAGAAAUUCCAAAUAGGUCUCAAUCAAAGACUAUGGUCCAUCUAUAAAUAUUAAAAGUUGAAUUGGAAUUCUUUGACAGCAACUUCAUUGUAUCAUAAUAUUAAAGUUAAAAUCAAAUGACAAUUAAAUUAAGACAUUACAGGUUC